AUUGAACGCUGGCGGCAGGCUUAACACAUGCAAGUCGAGCGGGGUGAUGGUGCUUGCACUAUCACUUAGCGGCGGACGGGUGAGUAAUGCUUAGGAAUCUGCCUAUUAGUAGGGGACAACAUCUCGAAAGGGAUGCUAAUACCGCAUACGUCCUACGGGGGAAAGCAGGGGAUCACUUGUGACCUUGCGCUAAUAGAUGAGCCUAAGUCGGAUUAGCUAGUUGGUGGGGUAAAGGCCUACCAAGGCGACGAUCUGUAGCGGGUCUGAGAGGAUGAUCCGCCACACUGGGACUGAGACACGGCCCAGACUCCUACGGGAGGCAGCAGUGGGGAAUAUUGGACAAUGGGGGGAACCCUGAUCCAGCCAUGCCGCGUGUGUGAAGAAGGCCUUAUGGUUGUAAAGCACUUUAAGCGAGGAGGAGGCUCUUUUGGUUAAUACCCAGAAUGAGUGGACGUUACUCGCAGAAUAAGCACCGGCUAACUCUGUGCCAGCCGCCGCGGUAA
rnacentral:rRNA from 1 species